rnacentral:rRNA from 1 species
ACGAACGCUGGCGGCGUGCUUAACACAUGCAAGUCGAACGGAAAGGCCCUGCUUUUGUGGGGUGCUCGAGUGGCGAACGGGUGAGUAACACGUGAGUAACCUGCCCUUGACUUUGGGAUAACUUCAGGAAACUGGGGCUAAUACCGGAUAGGAGCUCCUGCUGCAUGGUGGGGGUUGGAAAGUUUCGGCGGUUGGGGAUGAACUCGCGGCUUAUCAGCUUGUUGGUGGGGUAGUGGCUUACCAAGGCUUUGACGGGUAGCCGGCCUGAGAGGGUGACCGGGCACAUUGGGACUGAGAUACGGCCCAGACUCCUACGGGAGGCAGCAGUGGGGAAUAUUGCACAAUGGGCGGAAGCCUGAUGCAGCAACGCCGCGUGCGGGAUGACGGCCUUCGGGUUGUAAACCGCUUUCGCCUGUGACGAAGCGUGAGUGACGGUAAUGGGUAAAGAAGCACCGGCUAACUACGUG